rnacentral:ncRNA from 1 species
GGGAAUUAUAGUUUGAACGGACCCUUUUCCAAAGGACCUUGUUCCCAAUACGGUUGCGCGGGCAUGAAACUGUAACGAGCUUGCAACGAUUUCAGCGGCAGAUGCCGAACCACCGUUAAUUAAGACAACCAUUGGCACACCCCUCGCCAUAUCUCCUCUCUCAGCAAAGAAACUGCGUUGGGAGUUAUCUAAACGGCCUCUUAAAGAUACAAUCUCACCGUGGUUUAAAAAAGCAUCAGAUAGAAGAAUAGAUUGAUCUAGUAGGCCUCCAGGAUUAUUUCGUAA